CUAUUACGUGGUUGCUUUGUAGCUAGAAGUUUUUGGGUGGGUUUUAUUUACUAACAAAUGAUAUUGACGUGAGUGGUUUGUAUAAUUUUCAAAGUGAUAAGUAAGAUAUGUUUCACCAUUUCUCAUAUUUAAUGUACUAAUUAAUUAGAUAUUGUUUUUUUUUAAAAUUUCUUAAGGUAUCUAUCAGAGCAAAUUUGAUAAUUAAUCUUUUACAUUCUGUAGGGCUAUUAAGGGGUAGAUGUUGGUUACGAGUUUUAAAGCUGCUCCAUACCAGGGUGAGGAUUAAACCCUCGACCACUGAUUAAGGUAGUAGAGACUCUUACCGUCUCACUUAACUCUCGUGAUUAAUUAAAUAUUAUUUUUAAUCCAAAGUCAUAUAGCUUUUGGAAAAUUAAAUAUUGUUAGUUCUUUCCAAUAAGAUUAGUCAAGAUUUUGAUGCUAACGACCUCCUUUUACCAUAAAAAUUUCCACACCCGACUUGACUUUAAACAAAUGCAUUCUAUUUUGAAGUAAUUCCUUCCUUCCUUCUUCUUCUUCUUCUUCUUCUUCAUUGGGGCAUCAACAGGUUUUUUUCUUCAUAGCGUUGGAGAUGGGGGAGUUCUGCAUAAACCUAGACGUGGAUAUCAUGGGACUUGUCCUUGCACUUGUUAUUGCCAUCGCCCUCAUGCUCACCUGUGUCAACCAACCUCCACGCGCACGCCCCCGCCCAGCUAUGGUUGUCACUCAUCGUAUAGCUUGGUAAGGGCUCAAGCAAGGGCUCUUCUUCAUCAUCAUCAUCAUCAUCAAUAGGCUUGUUUCUUUUGGAGUUUGUUUUUUUUUUUCAAGUUUCAUGGGAUAGUUUUUCAUGUUUUUGAGAAUUGGGAUUGUGCCAAUGAACUGAUAAAAGGGUUUAAAAAGUUGAUCUAAAUUUUGUAAUAGAGUUUACAAACUCCUUUAAUGUUAUUGUAUUCUCAGAUUAAAGUGAGUGUUUGUUGAUGUAAUGUAAGACAGAAAUAAAAGAGGCAAAACAGUAAAAGCAAAUUUGUAGUGAAUAAAAUUAUUUGCUGUCAAACAUUUGUAACAAAAAUCAACCAAAUUUCCAAUACACAUAUACUUUCAAUACUUACAAAAUCCCUCAAUUUCAGUUCUCCCAACAGAGGUGGAUGACUGCUUCUGGAUCAAAAUCCAAGACAAUCAACUAAAUUUUGAAAUAUUUAUUGUUU
rnacentral:lncRNA from 1 species